rnacentral:rRNA from 1 species
GACGAACGCUGGCGGCGUGCCUAAUACAUGCAAGUUGAGCGCUGAAGGUUGGUACUUGUACCAACUGGAUGAGCAGCGAACGGGUGAGUAACGCGUGGGGAAUCUGCCUUUGAGCGGGGGACAACAUUUGGAAACGAAUGCUAAUACCGCAUAAAAACUUUAAACACAAGUUUUAAGUUUGAAAGAUGCAAUUGCAUCACUCAAAGAUGAUCCCGCGUUGUAUUAGCUAGUUGGUGAGGUAAAGGCUCACCAAGGCGAUGAUACAUAGCCGACCUGAGAGGGUGAUCGGCCACAUUGGGACUGAGACACGGCCCAAACUCCUACGGGAGGCAGCAGUAGGGAAUCUUCGGCAAUGGACGAAAGUCUGACCGAGCAACGCCGCGUGAGUGAAGAAGGUUUUCGGAUCGUAAAACUCUGUUGGUAGAGAAGAACGUUGGUGAGAGUGGAAAGCUCAUCAAGUGACGGUAACUACCCAGAAAGGGACGACUAACUACGU